rnacentral:rRNA from 1 species
AGUGAACGCUGGCGGUAGGCCUAACACAUGCAAGUCGAACGGCAGCACAGUAAGAGCUUGCUCUUACGGGUGGCGAGUGGCGGACGGGUGAGGAAUACAUCGGAAUCUACUAUUUCGUGGGGGAUAACGUAGGGAAACUUACGCUAAUACCGCAUACGACCUACGGGUGAAAGCAGGGGAUCUUCGGACCUUGCGCGAUUGAAUGAGCCGAUGUCGGAUUAGCUAGUUGGCGGGGUAAAGGCCCACCAAGGCGACGAUCCGUAGCUGGUCUGAGAGGAUGAUCAGCCACACUGGAACUGAGACACGGUCCAGACUCCUACGGGAGGCAGCAGUGGGGAAUAUUGGACAAAGGGCGCAAGCCUGAUCCAGCCAUACCGCGUGGGUGAAGAAGGCCUUCGGGUUGUAAAGCCCUUUUGUUGGGAAAGAAAAGCAGCAGGUUAAUACCCCGCUGUUCUGACGGUACCCAAAGAAUAAGCACCGGCUAACUUCGUG